UUCCGGUUGAUCCUGCCGGAAUCGACCGCUAUUGGAGUUCGAUUAAGCCAUGCGAGCCGAGAGCUUUAGGAGCUCGGCAUACUGCUCAGUAACACGUGGAUAACCUGCCCUGUGCUCCGGGAUAACCUCGGGAAACUGAGAAUAAUACCGGAUAGUCCACCACGCCUGGAACGGUGGGUGGAUCAAAGGUCACGGCACAGGAUGGGUCUGCGGCGUAUCAGGUUGUAGGGGGUGUAAAGGACCCCCUAGCCAUUGACGCGUACGGGUUGUGGGAGCAAUCGCCCGGAGAUGGAUUCUGAGACACGAAUCCAGACCCUACGGGGUGCAGCAGGCGCGAAAACUUCACACUGCAGGAAACUGUGAUGAGGGAACUCCAAGUGCGUGCACAAUGUGUAUACUUUUCCUUACUUUUAAUCGGUUUGGGAAUAAGGGCUGGGAAAGACCGGUGCCAGCCGCCGCGGUAAUACCGGCAGCUCAAGUGGUCGUCGCUUUUAUUGGGCCUAAAACGUCCGUAGCCUGUUUGGUAAAUCUGUGGGUAAAUCAACCAGCUCAACUGGUUGAAUUCUGCAGAGACUGCCAGACUAGGGACCGGGAGAGGUGUGGGGUACUCUCGGGGUAGGGGUAAAAUCCUGUCAUCCUGGGAGGAUCACCAGUUGCGAAGGCGCCACACUGGAACGGAUCCGACGGUCAGGGACGAAGCCUAGGGGCACGAACCGGAUUAGAUACCCGGGUAGUCCUAGGAGUAAACGCUGUGAACUUGGUGUCGGGGAUCCUACUUGGGUUCCCGGUGCCGGAGUGAAGAUGUUAAGUUCACUGCCUGGGGAGUACGGUCGCAAGGCUGAAACUUAAAGGAAUUGGCGGGGGAGCACUGCAACGGGAGGAGCGUGCGGUUUAAUUGGAGUCAACGCCGGG
rnacentral:rRNA from 1 species